AUGGGAAUAUGUUAUGUCUGCCGCCGCAUGGUGGGGGUGUGAACACGUCCGUUCACGCACACAAAUACACCCACACACACACACUCACCCCACAGAAAAAGAGGCAGAGACAAACAUCCAGUUUUCUUUCUCACGGACUUUUUGCGUCCCACAUUCAGCAGGAGCGCGGAUCCGCUGAGGACGUCUGCAGACCAACUCACAGCUCACAACUCACAGCAAAGUAGCACGGCCUAGCCACAGCCAUGUCGAAAGGAUGCAUCACAGUCACGAAGUACUUCUUAUUCCUCUUCAACCUCCUCUUUUUUAUCUUUGGAG